UGAACGCGAAGAACCUUACCAGGUCUUGACAUCCUCUGACAAUCCUAGAGAUAGGACGUCCCCUUCGGGGGCAGAGUGACAGGUGGUGCAUGGUUGUCGUCAGCUCGUGUCGUGAGAUGUUGGGUUAAGUCCCGCAACGAGCGCAACCCUUGAUCUUAGUUGCCAGCAUUCAGUUGGGCACUCUAAGGUGACUGCCGGUGACAAACCGGAGGAAGGUGGGGAUGACGUCAAAUCAUCAUGCCCCUUAUGACCUGGGCUACACACGUGCUACAAUGGACAGAACAAAGGGUAGCGAAACCGCGAGGUUAAGCCAAUCCCACAAAUCUGUUCUCAGUUCGGAUCGCAGUCUGCAACUCGACUGCGUGAAGCUGGAAUCGCUAGUAAUCGCGGAUCAGCAUGCCGCGGUGAAUACGUUCCCGGGUCUUGUACACACGCA
rnacentral:rRNA from 1 species